rfam:Schistosoma mansoni, Puerto Rico, WGS project CABG01000000 data, contig: 0184
AUCCAGGUGACGAGUCCCCAAUAGGACGAAACACGCUUUCUGGAU